rnacentral:rRNA from 1 species
AUUGAACGCUGGCGGCAUGCCUUACACAUGCAAGUCGAACGGCAGCACGGGUGCUUGCACCUGGUGGCGAGUGGCGAACGGGUGAGUAAUACAUCGGAACAUGUCCUGUAGUGGGGGAUAGCCCGGCGAAAGCCGGAUUAAUACCGCAUACGAUCUACGGAUGAAAGCGGGGGACCUUCGGGCCUCGCGCUAUAGGGUUGGCCGAUGGGGGAUUAGCUAGUUGGUGGGGUAAAGGCCUACCAAGGCGACGCUCAGUAGCUGGUCUGAGAGGACGACCAGCCACACUGGGACUGAGACACGGCCCAGAAUCCUACGGGAGGCAGCAGUGGGGAAUGUUGGGCAAUGGGCGAAAGCCUGAUCCAGCAAUGCCGCGUGUGUGAAGAAGGCCUUCGGGUUGUAAAGCACUUUUGUCCGGAAAGAAAUCCUUGGCCCUAAUACGGUCGGGGGAUGACGGUACCGGAAGAAUAAGCACCGGCUAACUACGUG